rnacentral:rRNA from 1 species
CAGUCGCCGCGGUAAAACGGAGGGUGCGAGCGUUAAUCGGAAUAACUGGGCGUAAAGGGCACGCAGGCGGUUAUUUAAGUGAGGUGUGAAAGCCCCGGGCUUAACCUGGGAAUUGCAUUUCAGACUGGGUAACUAGAGUACUUUAGGGAGGGGUAGAAUUCCACGUGUAGCGGUGAAAUGCGUAGAGAUGUGGAGGAAUACCGAAGGCGAAGGCAGCCCCUUGGGAAUGUACUGACGCUCAUGUGUGAAAGCGUGGGGAGCAAACAGGAUUAGAUACCCCUGUAGUCCCUGUCUCUUAUAC